GGCAGCCCCUUCAGGAAGUGGACGCUGUCCAGCGCAGCUCAGACCCACCGGCUGCGGCGACUGCGGGGCCCAGCCAAGUGCCGCGAGUGCGAAGCCUUCAUGGUCAGCGGGACGGAGUGUGAGGAGUGCUUUCUGACCUGCCACAAGCGCUGCCUGGAGACUCUCCUGAUCCUCUGUGGACACAGGCGGCUCCCAGCCCGGACAUCCCUCUUUGGGGUUGAUUUCCUGCAGCUACCCAGGGACUUCCCGGAGGAGGUACCCUUUGUGGUCACGAAGUGCACGGCUGAGAUAGAACACCGCGCCCUGGAUGUGCAGGGCAUUUACCGGGUCAGCGGGUCCCGGGUCCGUGUGGAGCGGCUGUGCCAGGCUUUCGAGAAUGGCCGAGCGUUGGUGGAGCUGUCGGGGAACUCGCCUCAUGACGUCUCGAGUGUCCUCAAGCGAUUUCUUCAAGAGGGUGGCUGCACGGUUUAUGGAAAACAAGAUGUCUGCCAACAACCUGGGCAUUGUGUUUGGGCCAACACUGCUGCGGCCGC
rnacentral:sRNA from 1 species